GGGGAUGUGGCUCAGUGGUAGAGCGCAUGCUUUGCAUGUAAGAGGCCCUGGGUUCACUCCCCGGCAUCUCCA